rnacentral:tRNA from 2 species
GCCUCUGUAGCUCAAUGGAAGAGCACCUCCGUCCUAAGGAGUUGGUUGGGAGUUCGAGUCUCUUCAGGGGCACCA